rnacentral:rRNA from 1 species
UACAGAGGUCUCGAGCGUUUGUUCGGAUUCAUUGGGCGUAAAGGGUGCGUAGGUGGCUAGGUAAGUCGGAUGUGAAAGCCCUCGGCUUAACUGAGGAAGUGCACCCGAAACUGAGUAGCUAGAGUACUAAAGAGGGUCGCGGAAUUCCCGGUGUAGAGGUGAAAUUCGUAGAUAUCGGGAGGAACACCGGUGGCGAAGGCGGCGACCUGGGUAGAUACUGACGCUGAGGCGCGAAAGCGUGGGGGAGCAAACAGG